CCUACGGGUGGCAGCAGUGGGGAAUAUUGCACAAUGGGGGAAACCCUGAUGCAGCGACGCCGCGUGAGUGAAGAAGUAUCUCGGUACGUAAAGCUCUAUCAGCAGGGAAGAAAAUGACGGUACCUGACUAAGAAGCCCCGGCCAACUACGUGCAAGCAGCCGAGGUAAUACGUAGGGGGCAAGCGUUAUCCGGAUUUACUGGGGGUAAAGGGAGCGGAGACGGCAGACCAAGUCGGGAGUGAAAUCCCGGGGCUUAACCCCGGAACUGUUUGGAAACUGUGCGGCUGGAGUGCAGGAGGGGUAAGCGGAAUUCCUAGUGUAGCGGUGAAAUGCGUAGAUAUUAGGAGGAACACCGGUGGCGAAGGCGGCUUACUGGACUGUAACUGACGUUGAGGCUCGAAAGCGUGGGGAGCAAACAGGAUUAGAUACCCCGGUAGUC
rnacentral:rRNA from 1 species